rnacentral:rRNA from 1 species
AUUGAACGCUGGCGGCAGGCCUAACACAUGCAAGUCGAACGAGUGGCGGACGGGUGAGUAAUGUCUGGGAAACUGCCCGAUGGAGGGGGAUAACUACUGGAAACGGUAGCUAAUACCGCAUACCAUCGGAUGUGCCCAGAUGGGAUUAGCUAGUUGGUGGGUUAACGGCUCACCUAGGCGACGAUCCCUAGCUGGUCUGAGAGGAUGACCAGCCAAACUGUAACUGAGACACGGUCCGGACUCCUACGGGAGGCAGCAGUGGGGAAUAUUGCACAAUGGGCGCAAUCCGGAUGCAGCCAGUCCGCGUGGAUGAAGAAGGCCUUCGGGUUGUAAAGUACUUUCAGCGAGGAGGCGUUACCCGCAGAAGAAGCACCGGCUAACUCCGUGCCAGCCGCCGCGGUAAUAC